AGAGACCGAUAGCGAACAAGUACCG
rnacentral:ncRNA from 2 species